UCUGCAUAUGAAAGGAUCACAACAAAUCAUUGUUUAGGCAGGAACACAUAGUUGUGAACAUGUUACGUUCAAUGACGGCUGUAGGUGUGACACCGGCAUAACGUGCCUCAAAAUAAGGCAAUAAAAAGCAUUUAGUUAAUAGCCAUGGUCUUGCAACCAGAGGCUUCAUACCUCCGAACGGCCGCUACGUGGCAUGCCACGUCCCGUUUGAGCCCGACUCUUGUUCAUAUCCUUACCACCAUCCUUGCGCUUGUCCUAUUCCUUGCGAUUCUCCUGCUCGUGUCCUGUUAAUGUAAAAUGACAAGGCAUAAUGUCAGUGUAUGCACCUGCAUGAUGGCCACUUACUGCCGGUGCCGUCUAGUCCCCCUUUUCCUGCUUUCCCCUGCUUGCCUGCGAAUGAAUGCUGCGCCAUUAUAGAGGAGAAAGACAGAUUCUUGUUAUGAAGAUGCUAAUUCAUUAGGCUUUACCUUACACUGUCGUCAUUGGAGGAUCAGCGUGAGUAUAAGCAAUGCAUACGCGCUAAACAACAAAUUCAAGAUAAUCUUAUUAGUGCAAUGCGCGCAAUGAAUUACUGCUCUGAGGACACGGGCAGCACUGGGCCUUACGCCCAACUUACUCCCAACUCCCAACUAACCCUCUUACUUAACGCAAGCUCGCAUAAGUUAUUGCGUCAGAGACAAAUGCCAAAGGAGAAGAUACCCCCUCUAACGGUUGAAAUACUGAACCACCACGGCGCUUCGUGCCGAGCCACAAGAGGGCCAAAGACGUGAGAGCUGCCAGACAGGCGCGCACACCGAAACUCCCGAAGCCAAACGCCUCGAAAGACCUCCG
rnacentral:lncRNA from 1 species